rnacentral:rRNA from 1 species
AGUCAAGUAAUUAAGUGCAUGUGGUGGAUGCCUUGGCAGUCAGAGGCGAUGAAAGACGUGAUAGCCUGCGAAAAGCUCCGGGGAGGCGGCAAAUAUCCUUUGAUCCGGAGAUGUCUGAAUGGGGGAACCCACCUACUUUAAGGUAGGUAUUGCAACAUGAAUACAUAGUGUUGCAAGGCGAACGAGGGGAAGUGAAACAUCUCAGUACCCUUAGGAAAAGAAAUCAAUUGAGAUUCCCUCAGUAGCGGCGAGCGAACGGGGAUCAGCCCAUUAAGUUAUGUGUGUUUUAGUGGAACGCUCUGGGAAGUGCGAACGUAGAGGGUGAUAUUCCCGUACACGAAAGGGCACACAUAAUGAUGACGAGUAGGGCGAGGCACGUGAAACCUUGUCUGAAUAUGGGGGGACCAUCCUCCAAGGCUAAAUACUCCUGACUGACCGAUAGUGAACCAGUACCGUGAGGGAAAGGCGAAAAGAACCCCUGUGAGGGGAGUGAAAUAGAUCCUGAAACCGCAUGCAUACAAGCAGUGGGAGCACCUUCGUGGUGUGACUGCGUACCUUUUGUAUAAUGGGUCAGCGACUUAUAUUCAGUAGCRAGGUUAACCGUAUAGGGGAGCCGUAGAGAAAUCGAGUCUUAAUAGGGCGUUUAGUUGCUGGGUAUAGACCCGAAACCAGGCGAUCUAUCCAUGAGCAGGUUGAAGGUUGGGUAACACUAACUGGAGGACCGAACCCACUGUCGUUGAAAAGCCAGGGGAUGACUUGUGGAUAGGGGUGAAAGGCUAAUCAAGCCUGGUGAUAGCUGGUUCUCCCCGAAAGCUAUUUAGGUAGCGCCUCGGACGAAUACCAUAGGGGGUAGAGCACUGUUUCGGCUAGGGGGUCAUCCCGACUUACCAAACCGAUGCAAACUCCGAAUACCUAUGAGUACUAUCCGGGAGACAGACUGCGGGUGCUAACGUCCGUAGUCAAGAGGAAAACAAUCCAGACCGCCAGCUAAGGCCCCAAAAUCAUAGUUAAGUGGGAAACGAUGUGGGAAGGCAUAGACAGCUAGGAGGUUGGCUUAGAAGCAGCCACCCUUUAAAGAAAGCGUAAUAGCUCACUAGUCGAGUCGGCCUGCGCGGAAGAUGUAACGGGGCUAAAACUAUGUGCCGAAGCUGCGGAUGUWKACUUWGUAYAMGUGGUAGGGGAGCGUUCUGUAAGCCGAUGAAGGUGURUUGAGAAGYAUGCUGGAGGUAUCAGAAGUGCGAAUGCUGACGUGAGUAACGACAAAACGGGUGAAAAACCCGUUCGCCGAAAGACCAAGGGUUCCAGUCCAACGUUAAUCGGGGCUGGGUGAGUCGACCCCUAAGGCGAGGCCGAAAGGCGUAGUCGAUGGGAAAAUGGUUAAUAUUCCAUUACUUCUGUGUAAUGCGAUGAGAGGACGGAGAAGGCUAAAUCAGCCUGGCGUUGGUUGUCCAGGUGAAAGGAUGUAGGCAUGUAUCUUAGGCAAAUCCGGGGUACUCUAUGCUGAGAUCUGAUAGCAAGCUGUACUUGUACAGCGAAGUGGUUGAUGCCAUGCUUCCAGGAAAAGUCUCUAAGCUUCAGUUACACAGGAAUCGUACCCGAAACCGACACAGGUGGUCAGGUCGAGUAGACCAAGGCGCUUGAGAGAACUCUGCUGAAGGAACUAGGCAAAAUGGUACCGUAACUUCGGGAGAAGGUACGCUGUUGUUGGUGAUGGAACUCGCUUCCUGAGCUGACGACAGCCGCAGAAACCAGGCCGCUGCAACUGUUUAUUAAAAACAUAGCACUCUGCAAACACGAAAGUGGACGUAUAGGGUGUGAUGCCUGCCCGGUGCUGGAAGGUUAAUUGAUGGGGUUAGCGUAAGCGAAGCUCUUGAUCGAAGCCCCAGUAAACGGCGGCCGUAACUAUAACGGUCCUAAGGUAGCGAAAUUCCUUGUCGGGUAAGUUCCGACCUGCACGAAUGGCAUAAUGAUGGCGGCGCUGUCUCCAGCAGAGGCUCAGUGAAAUCGAAAUCGCUGUGAAGAUGCAGUGUACCCGCGGCUAGACGGAAAGACCCCGUGAACCUUUACUGCAGCUUGACACUGAACUUUGACCUUACUUGUGUAGGAUAGGUGGGAGGCUUUGAAGCUGGAACGCUAGUUCCAGUGGAGCCGUCCUUGAAAUACCACCCUGGUAAUGUUGAGGUUCUAACUCUGUCCCGUGAUCCGGGACGAGGACCGUGUCUGGUGGGUAGUUUGACUGGGGCGGUCUCCUCCUAAAGAGUAACGGAGGAGUACGAAGGUGCGCUCAGCGUGGUCGGAAAUCACGCGUAGAGUAUAAAGGCAAAAGCGCGCUUAACUGCGAGACCCACAAGUCGAGCAGGUACGAAAGUAGGUCUUAGUGAUCCGGUGGUUCUGUAUGGAAGGGCCAUCGCUCAACGGAUAAAAGGUACUCUGGGGAUAACAGGCUGAUACCGCCCAAGAGUUCAUAUCGACGGCGGUGUUUGGCACCUCGAUGUCGGCUCAUCUCAUCCUGGGGCUGAAGCAGGUCCCAAGGGUAUGGCUGUUCGCCAUUUAAAGAGGUACGCGAGCUGGGUUUAGAACGUCGUGAGACAGUUCGGUCCCUAUCUACCGUGGGCGCUGGAAAUUUGAGAGGAUCUGCUCCUAGUACGAGAGGACCAGAGUGGACGAACCUCUGGUGUACCGGUUGUGACGCCAGUCGCAUCGCCGGGUAGCUAUGUUCGGAAGGGAUAACCGCUGAAAGCAUCUAAGCGGGAAGCCUACCUCAAGAUAAGAUUUCCCUAGGACUUUAUGUCCUCUAAAGAGCCGUUCGAGACUAGGACGUUGAUAGGUUGGAUGUGGAAGCAUAGUGAUAUGUGAAGCUGACCAAUACUAAUUGCUCGUGAGGCUUGACUAU